UGCAGGUCGGCAGUGGCGUGAAAGGGCUCCGAGCGCGUCACAGCCAGUGACGGGAGGGGGUGGCCCCGGGCCGCGGGAGGGAGGCGCGUUUCCUUGUCCUCUGCUGCAUUCCUGGUUCCGACUUGCGUUUCUCUAGACUGUUCCCGCUUGUCUGGGGGCCGCGCCUGGCGGUGGGGCCGGGGGUUACCCUGAUGCCCGGGCAGGCGAGUGGCCGACUUGCUGCUGUCCCGUUGCUCCGGCCCGUCUCUUCUGCUGACUCUGAGAAACACUCACCUCGUGACCGCGCGGGUGACGUGACCACAGUACUGUUUGUGUCGGCUUCGAUGUACAGAGUCACUGAGCCCUCCCCCUCUCACCAAGUCCAGCACUGACCCCGUCUGCCUCUGAGCCCCCCAGGGUCAGUUCUGUGCCAGGGUGGACGCUGUCCCGCUCUCUCUGUCCCCCGCAGGUCUGAGAAGCGUCCGGCCUCUUGCACGCUGCAGACGCCAGGCAGAAGGAGCCGUGGACAGUGAUAAACACGAUGGGCACCAUCAGGCUGCGGAUCGGAAGGACACAGUCAUGGGCAGAGGGGCUGAAGAAUGGAAUCCCGGCAGCGUGCAAGGCAAAUGCCCUACCCGCUGUACUAUCGCUCCAGCCCAGCAAGCUACCGGGAGUAUCCCGCCCGACGGCAGAGCCUGGCAAGCUCCCCGUGGCGUAUUCGAUAUGCCAGAAACAGUCACAACAAGUCUCACCAUGGAGACGUUACUAGUACCCGCUCAAGCAAAUUUGAUGAGCAACGGGAUGACAGUGACAGUGACAGUGACGGUGACAGUAUCUCAUGGUGAUUAAAGAAUUAUUAGAUUUAUAGAUAAAAAUCAAGUUGAAGAAAAUGUUAUUCAUAAUUAAAAAAUGUGGAAUGGACUUAUAACACAUAUAAAGACUUGAAGAGAUUUAUUACUUACAUAUCUAUUUACUAAUUUUAAUAGUUUCCUAUUGUGUCAUUAAUAGAGUUCCAGAGAUACACUAAUUAAAAAUGAGCCAUAAACUUCCCUCGCUCUGUGUGGAUAUGCAUUUCU